CUUUUUCCUGAGCUCAGAGUCACAGCCCUGGCCAGUUCCAGAAAGCUCUGGUGCUUCUAGAUGAAAAGCAGCGGGCGGCAAUAGCCAGCCAAUCAGAGGGCGCUCUCUGGAAUCCAGGGACACAUCUUAGCGGCUCCUGUUGUGUAACCUCCUUAGCUCCUCAUGGCGGUUACAGCGAGCGUUAGGUAGGCAGCGAGCGUUAUUACUAUGCUAAGCGAUCAGGAAAAUAACACGAGCGAGUCAGAAAGCUAUUAAAAAGCCGAGUCAGGGGGUUGGGGAUUUAGCUCAGUGGUAGAGCGCUUGCCUAGGAAGCGCAAGGCCCUGGGUUCGGUCCCCAGCUCCGAAAAAAAGAACCAAAAAAAAAAAAAAAAAAAAAAAAAAAAAAGCCGAGUCAGGACUUGAGCCCAGACAGUCCAGCUCUUACAGCCCGCAUCACGAAUGUCAACCACAUAGGUCGAUCUCUAGCUCCUCCUCCAGCACCAGCCUGCGUGCUGCCAUGCCCCCAGCCAUGACGACACCGGACUGAACCUCUGAACUGCAAGCCCCAAUGAAAUGUUUUCCUUUGUAAGAAUUACCAUGGUCAUCCACAGGACUUGGCCAUGUGAAAA